CUCCCCCCACGCACGCGACCUCCUCUCGUUCCACAAGCCAACGCAACCGCCGCCUCCUCGCCUCCGCCUCUUUCUCCGGGGGCCUUGCAGCUGCAGCAGGAUGGGAGUCAAGGGGGCGAGCGGGAUGGGCGGCCAGCUGGUUUCUUCGCCAGAUCUGCAGCCGAGGGGCGACUCCGGACCGGGGAGUGGCGGCAGUGGCCAGGCCUAGUGGUGACGGGACAAUGAAGUGGUCGGAGGCGCUGCAUCGGCGGCAAGUUGGUCUGCAACGACAGCAAGACGAGGGAGAUCGUGCACCCGCGGUGCCAAAGCUCAAGGGCCAUUAGGGAGCUGAACUCAGAUGUAUCCACCGUGCAGGACAAUGCCUUGGAGCUCCUGCUAUGUGGCUGUGGUUCUGGUCUUCUUUCCUGUACUUAAAUCUCGUGUUUGUUCGAUCUUAUAGGCUUCUUCAUAUUUUGCAUAUUCAUCAAGACGUGGCAGUCUACUCUGCUAUUUUGGCUAUCAUGGUCAAAAUAGCAGUAUGGAAUAAAUGAGACUUCCGGUCAAGCUACUGAUAUUAAGGUGUUCUUAUGUUUUUUUGGUGGGCUUUCAAGCCGCUUGUGUUUGCAUUUUGUCCAAAACUCAUGAAGAUUGAAGGAUCUUCAGAAGAAUAACCGGCAUAGCAUAUGGGUGCACGUGUGGAGCCAGUUCAGAGCAUACGUAGUAGUAGCAGUCUCAAGGUAAUGCAUUACAGGGCAUGUACAAUUUUGAAAUUGUAAAAUUCCACUAUGGCACCAAGGUGCUGUCUUUUGCUCUCCUCCCUGCAAAUCUAUGCUUAUUUCCUGAUAUAUAUGUAGCUUCUUAUAUAAUUAAUAGACUGUAUUAUGAGUGUAUUCAUGUUCUAAAAUCAACAAUGGUGGUAUCUUGGUAGAACUAAUGCAUUUCCUUAUGAUUUACUAUCCUGACUUAAAAGAUAUUGACUGAUUUUACAGCUGCUGUGCACAUAAUACGCUGCUAUAUGUUUCGUAGUAUUAUCCUUCUAAGAACAAGUACUGGCGCUCUGUUUUGCUAAUCCAAAAGGUGCAGCUUGUUAUUGUCCUUCAACUAUGCUUCCAGCAUAUAUGUGUUUUAACUUCUUGAUCCUUGUUUUGCUAUGCUUAACCUUUCAUACCCAGCUUCUUGGAUAAACUAAUUGUAGAAUUUCUUACCUUUGCCAUGCCUUGCUUUGCAUGCUUCAAGAAGCUUUUCAGAAUAUUCAGUUAAUUGUGCUGGUUGUUCAUAUCCUUAGCUGUUUUGCAGCUUAUCUGUCAAGUAGGUUUUACACUUUCGACAACUGGGAUAAUCAUGCUGCAAUUGCAUGCGAUGCUACUUCUAUAUUGUUGUGCUCUGAAAUAUAUUUUCAAAGGCAUAACCGAUUGGUCAAAAUAUACAGCUUGAGAUACUUUCAGUUUAGUUCAUAUCAUAUAUGAUUUUAGUUUGUCGCACGGUAUUUUUUUUAAAAAAAUAUAUUAGCUAUCAAGGCAAGGAUAAGACAUCAGGACAAAGAAGAGUUACCCUAUGCGUUUUUGGUGAUGUUGCAGAACACUCUUGAGAAGCGACAGCUAGGUAUUAUGACGCAUAUCUUCCUUCUCUGUUCAAAGCUUGCACAAGUGAAAACCCUGAUGUUAUACAAUGUGGAGUACAAUGGCUCCUACGGCUCGGCUUCGCGGCCGGGAUCAGGCAUCGCUGGAUCGGUGGCACCAAAGGUGGGUUGUGGAAGACUGCACCGGGGAGCAUCGAGCCAUCGACCGAACAAGGUCUUAGAGUCGUUUAUGAUCCCGUAGGCCUCCGACAACAUCAAUAAUAAGGAUAGGAGUUGUCUGCUUCAUAUCGCCUCUGUCUCCACCCACAUUUCAGUUUGCAGGAUGUGUUUGAGGGUGGCUUCUGCUUGUUCAUGAAGGCAACUAAGAAGGAGAAUUUGAUUAAAUUUCUUGAAGGAAAGAAAUAUUUUAUUUUCAGACAGGUAUGAAACUGUGAAUGUCCUGUAGUUCAUGUUGAGGGUGGCUUCUGCUUGUUCAUGAAUGCAUCGUAAAGCCUUGACAGCAGUGUAGGUGUUCUUUGUGUUGUUCAUGUUGAGGGCAUUGAUGAUGAGUUGCUAGAGCGUCUUGAUUGGUUGGGGAACCUGGCUAUUUAUGCUUCUCAAUUUUCAUAUUUGUAUUGGAACUAUUUACUAAAUUAUAUGCCGACACAAGUUUAGUAUC